rnacentral:rRNA from 1 species
AAAACAUGUCUUUUAGUAUAUUUUAAUUAAAAGUCUAGCCUGCCCGGUGAUAAAGCUUAAACGGCCGCAGUAUUCUGACUGUGCGAAGGUAGCAUAAUCAUUUGUCUUUUAAUUGAAGGCUUGUAUGAAUGGUUGGACGAAGAAUUAACUUUCUUUAUUUAAAUUUUAUGAAUUUGAUUUUUGAGUCAGAAAGCUUAAAUUUUUUUGUAGGACGAGAAGACCCUAUAGAAUUUUAUUAUUUAUUUGUUUAUUUGUUUUUUGGUAAUUAAUUAGACAAUUAAUCAUGGGAUAAUUUUGUUGGGGCGACAGUGAAAAUUAUUUAACUUUCAUUUAUUUUUAUCAUUUAUUUAUGUGUAUUUUGAUCCUUUAUUAUGGAUUAUAAGAUUAAAUUACCUUAGGGAUAACAGCGUAAUUUUUUUGGAGAGUUCUUAUCGAUGAAAAAGUUUGCGACCUCGAUGUUGGAUUAAAGUUAGUCUUUGGUGCAGAAGCUUAUAUGACUAA